rnacentral:rRNA from 1 species
CUGCCUGCCCAAUGAAAUUUAAUGGCCGCAGUAUCCUGACUGUGCAAAGGUAGCAUAAUCAUUUGUCUUUUAAUUGAAGGCUGGAAUGAAUGGCCAAACGUGGACUUAACUGUCCCACUGUUAAACAUAUAAUUUAAUAUUCAAGUCAAAACACUUGAAUGAAUUAGCAGGACGAGAAGACCCCAUAGAACUUUAUAUAAAUUAUUAUAUUUAAUUAGAACUUAAGCAACUAUAAAAAAUAAAUUAUUUGGUUGGGGCGACUAGAAAUUAAAAAACAUUUCUUAAACAAACUAGUAUUAAAGGAACAAUGACCCAAUAAUGGUUUAAGAAUAAGUUACCUUGGGGAUAACAGCGUAAUCUAAUUUUAGAGUCCUUAUCAAAAAUUAGGGUUGCGACCUCGAUGUUGGAUUAAGGUUAAUAUAUAGUGCAGCAAUUAUAUGAGAAGGGUCUGUUCGACCUUUAAAACCUUACA